UACAGAGGGGGCAAGCGUUGUCCGGAAUUACUGGGCGUACAGCGCGCGCAGGCGGUUGCCGACGUGCCGUGUGACAAACGGGGCUCAACCCCCGAGGGCCACGGUAAACGGGGCGACUGGAGGAAGGGAGAGGGAUGUGGAAUGCCCGGUGGGAGCGGUGAAGUGCGUAGAGAUCGGGCGGAACACCAGCGGCGAAGGCGGCAUCCUGGCCCUUACCUGACGCUGAGGCGCGAGAGCGU
rnacentral:rRNA from 1 species